GUGCAGAUAUCAUAAUGACCCAGUCUCCAUCCUUCAUGGCUGUUUUAAUAGGAGAGAAGGUCACCAUCAGCUGCAAGUCCAGUGAGAGUCUUUUAUACAGUAAAGACCAGAAGAACUACUUGAACUGGUACCAGCAGAAACCAGGACAUGCUCCAAAACAGUUAAUCUACUAUGCAUCUACUCGGGAUUCUGGGGCCCCUGAUCGCUUCAUAGGCAGUGGAUCUGAGACAGAUUUCACUCUCACCAUCAGCAGUGUCCAGGCUGAAGAUAAGGCAGAUUAUUACUGCCUACAGCUUUAUAAAUCUCCUCCCACAGUGUUUCAGCCUCCAACAUAAACUUCUGAGAGUCUCA